rnacentral:lncRNA from 10 species
AGAGCAGGGUGUGGUCUGGGAGGACAGGGAUGGUAGCGAGGGUGGCGGCUCACACGAAUCCAGGAGAGAAAACAGCAGCUGUUGCCGCGUCGAACCCGCAGCGCCCGAGGAGCUACCAGGUGCCGCGGGCGGGGCCUCCUUUUUAGCUGACUGGGACACGCAGCCUCGAAGGUCUGGUAGAGUCUCCCAGGGAGAGGGCCUGGAGGACGUAAUCCCAGCUGGCGUGUGGGAACGGGCAACGCCAUUUUGUACGGAAGCUACUGGGGCAGGUGAUGCCUACCCAGUCUCUCUCCUCUGUUGAACAAAGGAUCUGUUAAAAUUGGAAGGGCUUAACGUCUUCUUCAGAAAAGUGACGCAUUUGUUACUGGGAUGAUACUGUCUCCCUACAUUGCCUAGGCUGGUCUCGAACUCCUGGGCUCAAGCGAACCUCACAACUCGGCCUCCCAAAGUGCUGGGAUUACAGGCGUGAAUGCCCAACCUAUGCCAUCUUUUAUAGCGAUAACCACAAUACUUUUUGUUUAUAUAUUAAAUCGUUCAU